rnacentral:rRNA from 1 species
UACGAAGGGGGCUAGCGUUGUUCGGAAUUACUGGGCGUAAAGCGCACGUAGGCGGAUAUUUAAGUCAGGGGUGAAAUCCCAGAGCUCAACUCUGGAACUGCCUUUGAUACUGGGUAUCUUGAGUAUGGAAGAGGUAAGUGGAAUUGCGAGUGUAGAGGUGAAAUUCGUAGAUAUUCGCAGGAACACCAGUGGCGAAGGCGGCUUACUGGUCCAUAACUGACGGCUGAGG